rnacentral:ncRNA from 1 species
AAAAUUUGAUUAUGGUUUAAGAAAAAUUAAAAUGGUGUUAUUUUAUAUUAAUUCACUGAGUAGACAAUAAAAAUUUAUCUCGGCAAUUUAUCUUUUGUAAAUUUUUUGUUCCAGAAUAAUCGGCUAUACUAAGAAAAAUUGUACUUUAAUUGUUUUUUAUUUAAAUUUUAAUUAUUUUUAGUUUAAAUUUUAAGGUGAAAUAAAAAAUUUAAUAAAAUUUUUGAUUUAAAUAAUAAGAUUUUUUCUUAAAAUUGGAUUAGUACCCAAGUAUAAAAAAUUUAAAAGUGCAGGAUUAAAUUAAUAUUUAAACUGAAAAAAUAUUGGCAGAUUUCUUAAUUAUUUUUGGAGGUUGAAUGGUAAUUGAGAACCCUCAUUAACAGCUUUAAUUUUAGAUUUAUGUAUGAUCGUUUAUUUAAUUUUUAAGAAAUUUAAAUAAAAUUUAUUAUUAUAAAAAUAGAUAAAUACCUAGUAUAUAUUAGAGUUCGAAUUUGACCUACAAUAUUUUAUAUUUUGGAUAAAAAAUAAAGUUUAUUUUUUUGAAAUUGUAAAAAACAGUAAAAAUAUUUUUAUGUUAUUUUGAAGAUUAUCAAGAAAUGGUACAAAUCAUCCAUCAAUUGCCUAAAGGGGAGUAAGUUGUAGUAAAGUAGAAUUAGGGGAACCUGUUUCUAGUAAAAAAA